rnacentral:rRNA from 1 species
GAUGAACGCUGGCGGCGUGCCUAAUACAUGCGAGUCGAGCGAACAGACGAGGAGCUUGCUCCUCUGACGUUAGCGGCGGACGGGUGAGUAACACGUGGAUAACCUACCUAUAAGACUGGGAUAACUUCGGGAAACCGGAGCUAAUACCGGAUAACAUGUUGAACCGCAUGGUUCAACAGUGAAAGACGGUCUUGCUGUCACUUAUAGAUGGAUCCGCGCCGCAUUAGCUAGUUGGUAAGGUAACGGCUUACCAAGGCAACGAUGCGUAGCCGACCUGAGAGGGUGAUCGGCCACACUGGAACUGAGACACGGUCCAGACUCCUACGGGAGGCAGCAGUAGGAAAUCUUCCGCAAUGGGCGAAAGCCUGACGGAGCAACGCCGCGUGAGUGAAGAAGGUCUUCGGAUCGUAAAACUCUGUUAUUAGGGAAGAACAAAUGUGUAAGUAACUAUGCACGUCUUGACGGUACCUAAUCAGAAAGCCACGGCUAACUACGUG